CCUGCUUCCUAGAGGCAUUGCAGGUGUGUAUUUUGUGUCAUACAGGUGUCAGUAGGAGGCAGUGAAGAGAAAGGCUAUGUCUAUGCUCAGCUCACUGUCCUGAUCAAUGAAUAUCUGAAUGAUUAGUAGCCUUAGAUU